GCCGGGCAUAGUGGCUCAUGCCUGUAAUCCCAGCACUUUGGGAGGCUGAGAUGGGUGGAUCACUUGAGGCUAGGAGUUUGAGACCAGCCUGGCCAACAUAGUGAAACCCCAUCUCUA
ensembl:misc_RNA Metazoa_SRP Metazoan signal recognition particle RNA